GAUGAAGAACGUAGCGAAAUGCGAUAAGUAAUGUGAAUUGCAGAAUUCCGUGAAUCAUCGAAUCUUUGAACGCUCAUUGCGUCCCCUGGUAUUCCGGGGGGGCAUGCCUGUCCGAGCGUCAUUGCAACCUUCAAGCGCGGCUUGUGUGUUGGGUCUCGUCCCCCGUGGACGGGCCCGAAAGGCAGUGGCGGCGUCCCGACAUGGUGCCCGAGCGUAUGGGAAUCCUCUUCCGCUCGAAUCGGCCCAUGCGGCGCUGGUCGUAACCAAAUUUUUUACCGGUUGACCUCGGAUCAGGUAGGGAUACCCGCUGAACUUAAGCAUAUCAAUAAGCGGAGGA
rnacentral:misc_RNA from 1 species